rnacentral:rRNA from 1 species
UACGAAGGGGGCAAGCGUUGUUCGGAAUUACUGGGCGUAAAGGGCGCGUAGGCGGCUUAUCAAGUCAGGCGUGAAAUUCCCCGGGCUCAACCUGGGGGGCUGCGCUUGAUACUGAUGAGCUCGAAUGCGGGAGAGGAUAGUGGAAUUCCCAGUGUAGAGGUGAAAUUCGUAGAUAUUGGGAAGAACACCGGUGGCGAAGGCGGCUAUCUGGCCCGUAAUUGACGCUGAGGCGCGAAAAGCGUGGGGGAGCAAACAGG